GGCAAUAUUGGGUCAGUUUUCACCAAUGAUAUUUAAUUUGCUGUCCAGUUCAAGUGUUUCACGGAUUGAAGCGUUGAUCGCGGUGAUAUAGACAAGAGUUUGAAAGAUUGCAAUGGCAAAAACUUGCGCACAGCUUUUAAUAUUUAUGAUGGCCACCUUUUUGGCGGUAAACUUGGUGUCAGCUGUUCAGGAAAAAAACGGAACUUUGACUUCCGGUUCCAACGUGAUGGAAUCUUGUUACUUCCGGUGCUGGCAGGAUUACUCUCACUGUUUUAAGUUAUUUAAAUGCUCGCUCAGAACCGACGGCUGCAAAGAGUAUUGUGGACGAAGAAACAGACAAUGUCAACAGCUUUGUGACAGAGCAGAAAACAAUAAAUGAUUGAUGAAAAUUGUGUAUUGUUUAAUAAAGUCAGUAAAUUUGA